CGGACGGGUGAGUAACACGUGGAUAACCUACCUAUAAGACUGGGGUAACUUCGGGAAACCGGAGCUAAUACCGGAUAAUAUUUUGAACCGCAUGGUUCAAAAGUGAAAGACGGUCUUGCUGUCACUUAUAGAUGGAUCCGCGCUGCAUUAGCUAGUUGGUAAGGUAACGGCUUACCAAGGCAACGAUGCAUAGCCGACCUGAGAGGGUGAUCGGCCACACUGGAACUGAGACACGGUCCAG
rnacentral:rRNA from 1 species